AGAGUUUGAUUCUGGCUCAGAACGAACGCUGGCAGCGUGGAUGAGGCAUGCAAGUCGAACGGUCCUUUUUAGGUAGCAAUAUUUGAAAAGGAUAGUGGCGGAAGGGCGAGUAAUGCGAGAGCAAGCUGCCCCUUGGCCGGGGACAACAUUUGGAAACGAAUGCUAAUACCGGAUAAGAAGCGCAACCGCAUGGUUGCGUCUUGAAAGAUGGGGACCCGCAAGGGCCUGUCGCCGAGGGAGGUGCUCCCGUGCCAUCAGCUAGUUGGUAAGGUAAUGGCUUACCAAGGCUUACGGCUAGGUGGACUGAGAGGUUGGUCACCCGCACUGGGACUGAGACACUGCCCAGACUCCUACGGGAGGCUGCAGUCGAGGAUCAUUCGCAAUGGGCGAAAGCCUGACGAUGCGACGCUGCGUGUAGGACGAAGGCCUUCGGGUCGUAAACUACUGUCAUGUGGGACAAGGGUGUCGGUGUUAACAGCACCAUACACUGGAUGGUACCACAAGAGGAAGCCACGGCUAACUCUGUGCCGGCAGCCGCGCUAAUACAGAGGUGGCGAGCGUUGUUCGGAUUUACUGGGCGUAAAGCGUGCGUAGGCGGUCGCGUGUGUUGGAUGUGAAAUCCCGGGGCUCACCCCCGGACGGGCAUCCAAAACUGCGUGGAUAGAGGCCGGGAGAGGAGUCUGGAACACAUGGUGUAGCGGUGAAAUGCGUUGAUAUCAUGUGGAACACCGGAUGCGAAGGCGAGACUCUGGAACGGAUCUGACGUUGAGGUACGAAAGCGUGGGGAGCAAACAAAAAAAGAUACCUUGGUAGUC
rnacentral:rRNA from 1 species